UUUCCGUAGGUGAACCUGCGGAAGGAUCAUUAUUGUAUUACCGAGGUCUGUGGGCCGACCUUGAACCCUAUGGCCGCGUUCGCACGUGUGUUCUCCCACACUUCCAUCUCACUCUUAUGUGUACCACUGCGCGGGACCCCCUCUGGACAGUUCGGAGGGGGGCCCAAGCUCCCACACACAUUUUGAACCAUGUCUUGUAUGUAUCUAUCGUAUUUGCGAUCAAGACUUUAAUCAACUUUUCAAUAAGGGCUCUCUUGGCUCUCGAACCGAUGAAGAAGG
rnacentral:misc_RNA from 1 species